rnacentral:rRNA from 1 species
GUCCACGCCGUAAACGAUGGAUACUAGCUGUUGGGAGUAAUCUCAGUGGCUAAGCGAAAGUGAUAAGUAUCCCACCUGGGGAGUACGUUCGCAAGAAUGAAACUCAAAGGAAUUGACGGGGGCCCGCACAAGCGGUGGAGCAUGUGGUUUAAUUCGAUGAUACGCGAGGAACCUUACCAAGGCUUAAAUGUAGAUUGACCGAUUUGGAAACAGAUCUUUCGCAAGACAAUUUACAAGGUGCUGCAUGGUUGUCGU